rnacentral:tRNA from 1 species
GCUUGGGUAGCUCAGUUGGUAGAGCACUUGCCCGCAGAAGGCAAAGGUCCCGAGUUCGAGUCUCGGUCCGGGACA